AUAGUCCGGGAGCCAGCUGCCAUUUUAAGGGGAUGCUAAAGCUAAGGCCGAACUUCCUCGACGUCGGAACCAGACAAUGUAGCCAACCCCGAAACUGCCCACAGCUGCGUAGGGAUCCUCCAGAGAGGGAUCGGACUAAGCGGGUAUCGUUUUCUAUUGGUCGGCGACUAUUUGUUUCAAAACCGGAAACAGAGAGAGAAAGAGCGAGCGAGUAAGAGAGAUAGAGCCAUACACACACGCGUGCGCGUGACCGUAAAUCGCAACGAAACGAGGAGAGGAGAGCGAGUAAAGCAGAAUAAGGACGAACGGACGGAUGGCCGAUGCUAUCCGGAGAAAGGAAAAACGUGCCCCAUAAACUAGAAAAAGAAGAAGAAGACGAACGGACGGAGAGAGAGCGUGGCUCGCGCGAACGGAGAAAGGCAGUCGCAGGAAGCAGAAAACCGCGUCGUCACGGUAUACCCUGUCGUCGUCGCCGUCGUCGUCGUCAUCGUUAUCGUCAUCGUCGUCGUCGUCGUCAACCUACGACGCAGCGUUCUCCUUUGGCGUCAACGAUCGAAGAAGGACGAGGACAAGUUAGUCGUGUAGGAUUAUUAGGCUAUUCUCAUCUACGCGCCUGACGAAAGAACGGUGGUGUACGAUUUAGAAAGCUGCCUGCCAUUUUUCACGCAUUUCUGGAAAUACGCGACCGAGACCUUCCGUUCCGACGAGGCGUUACGACCCGAAUAUCACAGAAAAUUCCGUCUGGUGCCCGCCAGCGUGUACCUAUAGCAGUUUGCGUCGAAUCGGCAUCACAUGAAACGCAAGAACGGCACUUGGAUCAAGACACUGCUGGAUUAUCCUCCGAUCUCGACACCAAGAUUAAAAUAUAAAUCGAAAAUGUGACUGAUCAAGUUUUACAAGAUUUUUUUAUACAUUUAUUAUACACAAAUU